AUGUACAUUCCUACAACAUAGUGUUAAUGCAUCAGAUCCCAUUAGAACUCCACAGUUAAUUGCACUCAGACUAGAGUAGUAUUGGGAUGGGUGACCGCCCGGGAAGUCCUAGUGUUUUACAUG
rnacentral:rRNA from 1 species